rnacentral:tRNA from 1 species
GGGAAGGUUGCUCAGUGGUAGAGCGCUUGCCUUGCAUGCAUGAGGUUCUGGGUUCAAUUCCUCAGCACCA